UGGGGAAUAUUGCACAAUGGGGGAAACCCUGAUGCAGCGACGCCGCGUGAACGAAGAAGGUAUUCGUAUCGUAAAGUUCUGUCCUAUGGGAAGAUAAUGACAGUACCAUAGAAGAAAGCUCCGGCUAAAUACGUGCCAGCAGCCGCGGUAAUACGUAUGGAGCGAGCGUUGUCCGGAAUUAUUGGGCAAAGGGUACGCAGGCGGUUUAAUAAGUCGAAUGUUAAAGAUCGGGGCUCAACCCCGUAAAGCAUUGGAAACUGAUAAACUUGAGUAGUGGAGAGGAAAGUGGAAUUCCUAGUGUAGUGGUGAAAUACGUAGAUAUUAGGAGGAAUACCAGUAGCGAAGGCGACUUUCUGGACACAAACUGACGCUGAGGUACGAAAGCGUGGGGAGCAAACAGG
rnacentral:rRNA from 1 species